AACAGUUGCACCUUUUAUAAAAAUCAUAUAAACCUAAAAAAUCAUUAUCUGACCUGAGUUUUCAAUAAACCCAAUAAAUAAGAUUUUUCUUCACAGUUACUGGAUUCUGCUACUAAAAUGCAAGUCUGAUUUUGAUGGUUCCUUAGCUUGGUAAUGGCAGCAUCAUGACUUAACAAAUGUUUUAUGAGGACAAAAUCUGGUUUUGACUUUUGACACUCAAAGUGCAAGAUUGUCAUACCACAGGCAUUUGAAUAUUUGGAUUAAAAGAAACGUGAUUUACUAAAAUUUUCAACACUUACUAAAUAAAAGUGUAGCCUCAUCUGUAGUCUCAUCAUCACUACUUUUAUAAAGACAAUGAAAAGGGGUCUCGCCAUUUUUGAUCUGUAUAUUGACAUUUGGCAUUAACUUCGAAAAACAUGACCAUAAUAGGCGCAAUUAUAAAUGUAAGCUGUAUGAAGUGCUGUAUUUCCUGCUAUAUUAGAAAUGAAAAAAUUAGCUAAUCCAUAUGAGUUAUAGCUAUUGUCAUCAACAUUUGCAAAAUCCAAAAAUGCUGCAAAUUGAGAAUAACAGAGAACAUGUAGUGGUGUCAGUAACAUUCAAGUCAAUUAUUUUAUCUUUACACAAUUUAUCAAACAUUCUGGGAUUCAGUUUUGCCAGAAUAUGAAAAGGCAUCCAAUGCCCCUUAUUAGCAAUAUUAGUCUUGCAAUUUGGAAAACUACCUACUGGUUUUAGAGUGUAUAGGGUGUAUAUGACCAGCAGGAAUAUAAAAUACUGACUCAUUAAUGGGCAUACAUGUACCUACUGAAUCAAAAGUAAAUAUUCUACUCCACUCAAUUGUGAUCUUUUCUCUUCCUUAUAAUUUGUAGAAAGACUGUCUAGGGCAUUACAAGUAGGAGAGUACAGAAUUAAAUUAUUUUUAUUACUGUUAAUACAGAGGUUAUGUAAAUAGCAAUUUUGCUAUAAUGAUAUAUAAUUUUGUUCCCACUUUAAUUCAGUUCUCUUUAAUCUAAUGAUGAAGUCAAUUGUUGCUAAGAAUACACGAGUGAGAGAAUUUAAGAAACAAAUUAUUGAAGAAGCAAGAGUACAAAGAAUUGACAAUGGUGUCCUUGAAUUAGACAAAAAGAGAUUACUAAAGAAGAAUUGAAGGUCACCUGGUAGAGUGUAUCUUGAUCAUCAAUUGAUUGAGAGAUAUUCAUAUAUAUGCUGGUAGUGAAAUGUAUUUGGAAAUACUGAAAGAACCUGAAAAGAUGAAGCUCCCAACACAGAUGCAUGCAGGUGUAUGUUAGAAGAUGGUGUCCAUCAGAAUUUUCAGUUGAUCCAACAGAAGAAUUUUCAGAGUUAAGUGGAGUUUCUGUUGAUGCCAUUUCUGUUGCAACAAUUAGCAAUUGACAUUUCACUAUCAGCCAGUUAUUUUUCCUUUAAAAGUAUUUGAGAUCAUUUCCAGCUCAGAUAUCACGUCUUGAUAUUAAGAAUGAGUUGGAAUGGAAUCAAGCAUCACUGUAUGAUGCUGAUGGAGAUGUCAUUUAUUACAAAGACAAUAGAGAACAAUUGAAGGAGAUCACAACUGAAGAGAGAGCAGAAUUUAAAAUGACAGAAAGCAAAA